rnacentral:rRNA from 1 species
CGAAUCUGAGGGAGCUUGCUCCCGAAGAUUAGCGGCGGACGGGUGAGUAACACGUGGGCAACCUGCCUGUAAGACUGGGAUAACUCCGGGAAACCGGGGCUAAUACCGGAUAAUUCAUCUCCUCACAUGAGGGGAUGCUGAAAGACGGUUUCGGCUGUCACUUACAGAUGGGCCCGCGGCGCAUUAGCUAGUUGGUGAGGUAACGGCUCACCAAGGCGACGAUGCGUAGCCGACCUGAGAGGGUGAUCGGCCACACUGGGACUGAAACACGGCCCAAACUCCUACGGGAGGGAGCAGUAGGGAAUCUUCCGCAAUGGACGAAAGUCUGACGGAACAACCCCCCGUGAGCGAAGAAGGCCUUCGGGUCGUAAAGCUCUGUUGUUAGGGAAGAACAAGUACCGGAAUCACUGCCGGUACCUUGACGGUACCUAACCAGAAAGCCACGGCUAACUACCUGCCAGCAGCCGCGGUAAUACGUAGGUGGCAAGCGUUGUCCGGAAUUAUUGGGCGUAAAGCGCGCGCAGGCGGUCCUUUAAGUCUGAUGUGAAAGCCCACGGCUCAACCGUGGAGGGUCAUUGGAAACUGGGGGACUUGA